CUACGGGUGGCUGCAGUGGGGAAUAUUGGACAAUGGGGGAAACCCUGAUCCAGCAAUGCCGCGUGUGUGAAGAAGGCCUGCGGGUUGUAAAGCACUUUCGGUUGGGAGGACUGCCUCUAGCACUAAUAUUGUUGGAAGUUGACGUUACCUUCAGAAGAAGCACCGGCUAACUCCGUGCCAGCAGCCGCGGUAAUACGGAGGGUGCAAGCGUUAAUCGGAAUUACUGGGCGUAAAGCGCGCGUAGGCGGCUAGAUCAGUCGGGUGUGAAAGCCCCGGGCUUAACCUGGGAACUGCAUCCGAUACUGUCUAGCUUGAGUACAGGAGAGGAGAGUGGAAUUCCACAUGUAGCGGUGAAAUGCGUAGAUAUGUGGAGGAACACCAAUGGCGAAGGCAGCUCUCUGGCCUGAUACUGACGCUGAGGUGCGGAAGCGUGGGGAGCAAACAGGAUUAGAUACCCGAGUAGUC
rnacentral:rRNA from 1 species